rnacentral:rRNA from 1 species
CAGCGAAACUGCGAAUGGCUCAUUAUAUAAGUUAUCGUUUAUUUGAUAGUACCUUACUACUUGGAUAACCGUGGUAAUUCUAGAGCUAAUACAUGCUAAAAAUCCCGACUUCGGAAGGGAUGUAUUUAUUAGAUUAAAAACCAAUGCCCUUCGGGGCUCACUGGUGAUUCAUGAUAACUCCUCGAAUCGCAUGGCCUUGUGCCGGCGAUGGUUCAUUCAAAUUUCUUCCCUAUCAACUUUCGAUGUUUGGGUAUUGGCCAAACAUGGUUGCAACGGGUAACGGAGGGUUAGGGCUCGACCCCGGAGAAGGAGCCUGAGAAACGGCUACUACAUCCAAGGAAGGCAGCAGGCGCGCAAAUUACCCAAUCCCGACACGGGGAGGUAGUGACAAUAAAUACUGAUACAGGGCUCUUUUGGGUCUUGUAAUUGGAAUGAGUACAAUUUAAAUCCCUUAACGAGGAACAAUUGGAGGGCAAGUCUGGUGCCAGCAGCCGCGGUAAUUCCAGCUCCAAUAGCGUAUAUUAAAGUUGUUGUGGUUAAAAAGCUCGUAGUUGAACCUUGGGCCUGGCUGGCCGGUCCGCCUCACCGCGUGUACUGGUCCGGCCGGGCCUUUCCCUCUGUGGAACCCCAUGCCCUUCACUGGGUGUGGCGGGGAAACAGGACUUUUACUGUGAAAAAAUUAGAGUGCUCCAGGCAGGCCUAUGCUCGAAUACAUUAGCAUGGAAUAAUAGAAUAGGACGUGUGGUUCUAUUUUGUUGGUUUCUAGGACCGCCGUAAUGAUUAAUAGGGACAGUCGGGGGCAUCAGUAUUCAAUUGUCAGAGGUGAAAUUCUUGGAUUUAUUGAAGACUAACUACUGCGAAAGCAUUUGCCAAGGAUGUUUUCAUUAAUCAGGAACGAAAGUUAGGGGAUCGAAGACGAUCAGAUACCGUCGUAGUCUUAACCAUAAACUAUGCCGACUAGGGAUCGGACGGUGUUAUUUUUUGACCCGUUCGGC